ACCGGCAGGUCGCACGCACGGCAGGCCGCCCGCUGGCGUCAGGCGCGCUGUCAAUGCGGGAGGCGGCGCUGUUCCUGGCGGCGCUGCUGCUG
rnacentral:tRNA from 1 species